rnacentral:rRNA from 1 species
AUUGAACGCUGGCGGCCGGCCUAACACAUGCAAGUCGAGCGAGCGGCGGACGGGUGAGUAAUGUCUGGGAAACUGCCUGAUGGAGGGGGAUAACUACUGGAAACGGUAGCUAAUACCGCAUACCCUCAGAUGUGCCCAGAUGGGAUUAGCUAGUUGGGGGGGUAACGGCUCACCAAGGCGACGAUCCGUAGCUGGUUUGAGAGGACGACCAGCCACACUGGGACUGAGACACGGCCCAGACUCCGACGGGAGGCAGCAGUGGGGAAUUUUGGACAAUGGGGGAAACCAUGAUCCAGCCAUGCCGCGUGUGCGAUGAAGGCCGUCGGGUUGUAAAGCACUUUUGGCAGGAAAGCGGUACCUGCAGAAGAAGCACCGGCUAACUACGUGCCAGCAGCCGCGGUAAUAC